UAUUUCCCGUGUCUUUUAAAA
rnacentral:piRNA from 1 species